UACGUAGGUGGCGAGCGUUGUCCGGAAUUAUUGGGCGUAAAGGGCGUGUAGGCGGGUUAUUAAGUCUUAAGUAUAAAUGCUGAGCUUAACUUAGUAUUGCUUAAGAAACUGGUAGUCUUGAGUUAAGGAGAGGAAAGUGGAAUUCCCAGUGUAGCGGUGAAAUGCGUAGAGAUUGGGAGGAACACCAGUGGCGAAGGCGACUUUCUGGACUUAAACUGACGCUGAGGCGCGAAAGCCAGGGGAGCGAACGGG
rnacentral:rRNA from 1 species